rnacentral:rRNA from 1 species
AUUGAACGCUGGCGGCAGGCCUUACACAUGCAAGUCGGACGAGUGGCGGACGGGUGAGUAAUGUAUCGGAAACUGCCUGAUGGAGGGGGAUAAAUAUCGGAAACGGCAGCUAAUACCGCAUACUAUCGGAUGUGCCGAUGUUGGAUUAGCUGGUAGGCGGGGUAAGGGCCCACCAAGGAGACGAUAACUAGCGGGUCUGAGAGGAUGAGCGGCCACACUGGAACGGAGACACGGUCCAGACUCCUACGGGAGGCAGCAGUGGGGAAUUUUGGACAAUGGGCGCAAGCCUGAUGCAGCCAUGCCGCGUGUCUGAAGAAGGCCUUCGGGUUGUAAAGCACUUUCGUCAAGGAAGCGGUACCUGAAGAAUAAGCACCGGCUAACUCCGUGCCAGCAGCCGCGGUAAUAC